UGGGCUUGACAUGUUCCUGACCGCCGUGGAAACACGGCUUCCCUUCGGGGCAGGAUCACAGGUGGUGCAUGGCUGUCGUCAGCUCGUGUCGUGAGAUGUUGGGUUAAGUCCCGCAACGAGCGCAACCCCCGUCGCAUGUUGCCAGCAUUUAGUUGGGGACUCAUGUGAGACUGCCGGUGACAAACCGGAGGAAGGUGGGGAUGACGUUUCUAGGAGGGUG
rnacentral:misc_RNA from 1 species